UUAAAGGCUCGGAGAUUCCACCUAAAAGCACUAGAAAGGGGUUUGAAUAUUCAUUCAACUCGAAGGACUCAAGAAGGCUCUUGGAAUCCCUGUUACCCUAACACGGUUCCCGGAUUCUAGGGGUUCUGCCACGCGCCAUUGGAGUAAUCGCCCACCUGUCGUUCUCCCAUUUUCAAUCAACCAAUCAAUUCCGUGCUUUUUGUGGAUUUCUUUUCUCCUCAGCCAACAUAAAACUCUAACCCUAGCAAGGUACGAUUUUCUUGCCCAAAGUUUUUUUAUUUGGGACCAACUAAAUGGGCUGUUUAGUCCUGAUCACUUG
rnacentral:lncRNA from 1 species